rnacentral:lncRNA from 1 species
CCUCACAAAACAGCAUAGCUGCACACAAAAGACCCACAAAUCUGCCACCAAGACCAGAAGUUCCAUAAACUACAAAGCCAUAUCAACUUAAUGACAUCCACCCAUGAAUCACCAACUCCACCAAGUUUGAACCCGCCUAUGCCCCAUAGAGAAUACAGCAACCAAUCAAAGCAAGACCAGGGGAAAUGAAAACCCGAAGCCCAAAGAAUAAAAGAAGUGGAAGGUGGUGGUGCAAGCACCAGAGUAAGAGCUAUAUACACAUUCCGAUGGGGACGCGAGAGAUGGCGUUUUGGAUUAACUUCUACACCCCGCAGGAAAGGCCACAUCGAAGAGGGAGAAAAAGAAUCCAAGGAGUAGAUGGAAGAUGCUUGGACAAAAUUGGAUUUAGAGAGAGGUUGAAGGAAAAUUUGGGACACAUAAUUAAAAUAAGACAUAUAGUCUCAGAUCCACCCACAAGAGUGGAAAGAAAUCACCAAAGAAAGCAAAGAGGGAGGAAAUGGUGAGAAUGUUGGAGGAUGUUGAGAAUGGUAGAGGGAAGAGAUGUUAG